rnacentral:rRNA from 1 species
UACGUAGGGUGCAAGCGUUGUCCGGAAUUACUGGGCGUAAAGCGUGCGCAGGCGGCUUCGCAAGUCAGACGUGAAAUCCCCGGGCUUAACCUGGGAAUGGCGUUUGAAACUACGGAGCUGGAGUGUGGCAGAGGGAGGUAGAAUUCCACGUGUAGCGGUGAAAUGCGUAGAUAUGUGGAGGAAUACCGAUGGCGAAGGCAGCCUCCUGGGCCAACACUGACGCUCAUGCACGAAAGCGUGGGGAGCAAACAGG